GCAGUGGUAGUUCAGUGAUAGAAUUCUUGCCUUCCAUGGCAGAGAUUCAGGGUUCAAUUCCCUGCCAAUGCC
rnacentral:tRNA from 1 species